rnacentral:rRNA from 1 species
GCACCACAAGGGGUGGAACCUGCGGUUCAAUUGGAUUCAACGCCGGACAACUCACCAGGGCGACAGUUGGUUGAAGGCCAGGUUGACGACUUUGCUGGACUAGCUGAGAGGUGGUGCAUGGCCAUCGUCAGCUCGUACCGUGAGGCGUCCUGUUAAGUCAGGCAACGAGCGAGAUCCUCGCCCCUAGUUGCCAUCGGUGGGAAGCCGGGCACUCUAGGGGGACCGCUGGCGCUAAGUCAGAGGAAGGAGAGGGCGACGGUAGGUCAGUAUGCCCCGAAUCCCCUGGGCUACACGCGGGUUACAAUGCGCAGGACAAUGAGAUGCAACCCCGUAAGGGGGAGCCAAGCCCCUAAACCUGCGCUCGGUUCGGAUCGAGGGCUGUAACUCGCCCUCGUGAAGCUGGAAUCCCUAGUAAUCGCGUGCCAACACCGCGCGGUGAAUGCGUCCCUGCUCCUUGCACACACCGCCCGUCAAGCCACUCGAGUGGGGUCCGGAUGAGGUCAGUUCAAGUUGGACUGCUCGAAUCCGAGUUCUGCAAGAGGGGCU